rnacentral:rRNA from 1 species
UACAGAGGUCUCAAGCGUUGUUCGGAUUCAUUGGGCGUAAAGGGUGCGUAGGCGGCGCGGUAAGUCGGGUGUGAAAUCUCGGAGCUUAACUCCGAAACUGCAUUCGAUACUGCCGUGCUUGAGGACUGGAGAGGAGACUGGAAUUUACGGUGUAGCGGUGAAAUGCGUAGAUAUCGUAAGGAAGACCAGAGGCGAAGGCGGGUCUCUGGACAGUUCCUGACGCUGAGGCACGAAGGCCGGGGGAGCAAACAGG